UGGAAGAGCGUCACGUGGGUCGUCCUCGCGGUGCGGCGUCCCGCGGUGAUAUUGUUGUUCCGGUUAUAUAAUCCUACCGGGUGACCGCCGUUGGCGAUGAAGAUGGCCUCCGACGACGAGCCGGCCGUGCGGCCGCCUCCCAAACAGGGUCUGACGGCGUUUCUGGUGGCUUCCAUAUUCUCGGCCGUGCUGGGCAUGUUCCAGUUUGGCUACAACACGGGCGUCAUCAACGCACCGCAAUUGAAAAUCGAGGACUUCAUCACCGCGGUGUGGAAGGAGCGGUAUGGGGAGGUCAUCGACGAGUCGACGCUCGACCUCAUCUGGUCGGUGGCCGUCUCCAUCUUCGCCAUCGGAGGCAUGGCCGGCGGCUUCUCCGGUGGAUACGUGGCCAACCGGCUCGGCAGGAGGGGCGGCCUGAUGAUGAAUGACGUCAUUGGUAUCGUGGGCGCCGCGUUAAUGGGCUUCAGCAGCAUGGCCGACUCGUACGAGCUGCUCAUCGUCGGCCGGCUCGUCAUCGGCUACAACUGCGGCAUGAGCUCGGCCCUGGUGCCGAUGUACGUAUCGGAGAUAGCGCCUGUGAACCUGCGGGGCGGUGUCGGUAUCGUCAACCAGCUGGCAGUGACCAUCGGCAUGCUGCUCUCACAGAUUCUGGGCCUUGGUCAACUGCUUGGCACCGAUGACGGCUGGCCCCUGCUGCUUGGUCUGGCCGUCUGCCCGUCAGCGCUACAGCUGGUGCUGCUGCCCAUGUGUCCCGAGUCACCGCGCUAUCUGCUCAUCACCAAACAACGCGAGCAGGACGCACGCAAGGCUCUGCGGAAGCUGCGCCACGACAGUGCUAUAGAGGCGGACGUGGAGGAGAUGAAGGCUGAGGAGCGGGCGCAGCAGGCCGAGUCCAGCUUCACGAUGCUGCAGCUGAUCACGUCGCCGACGCUGCGCAAGCCGCUCAUCAUCGCCAUCGUGAUGCAGCUCUCUCAGCAGCUCAGCGGCAUCAACGCAGUCUUCUACUACUCGUUCGACAUCUUCUUGGACGCCCACCUGUCUGAGGAGUCGGCCGGCUACGCCACCAUGGGCGUCGGCGUGGUGAUGGUGCUGAUGACGGGCGUCUCGAUCCUGCUGAUCGAGCGCGAGGGCCGGCGCACGCUGCACCUCUGGGGCCUGGGCGGCAUGUUCUUCUUCUCCGUGUUCAUCACCAUCACGUUCCUGGUGAAGGGGAUCAUCUCGUGGAUCUCCUACCUGUCGGUGGUGUGCACGUUCGGGUUCGUCGUGUUCUUCGCCGUCGGGCCUGGCUCCAUCCCGUGGAUGAUCACUGCCGAGCUCUUCUCACAAGGUCCGCGGCCGGCUGCCAUGAGUAUCGCAGUGCUGGUCAACUGGUUCUGUAACUUCAUCGUCGGCAUCGCCUUCCUCCCGAUGAAGAACGCGCUGGAGAACUACACGUUCCUGCCGUUCUCGGCGCUGCUGGCGAUCUUCUGGGGAUUCACGCUCAAAAUGGUGCCCGAGACCAAGGGAAAGACGUUCGAGGAGAUCGCCGCGCUGUUCCGACGAUCCGAGCCACUGGUGCCCGAGCAGCAGCAGCAGCAGUACAAGACCGACGCGGGCACUGACAACGGCGCGUUCGAGUCUAGCUCGCAGCUGUAGCCGCCGUGUCUCUGCCCGCCCGCACCGCCCACCGCUGCGGGCCCGCGUGUGUGUGUGUCUGUGUGUGCGUGUGUGGUGCCGCGCGCUGUGUGACGCUGUUUGCCGUGACGCGUCACGUCUGGGGCUGCGUGACGCGAGUGACCGUCACCCGGCCGGUUGCAGGCCGAUCACCAACGGCUCCCAGCCGGCGGCGGCGGCGCGGUUCGAGGUGCCGCCCCUGCUCGAGGCCCGCUACGUGCCGCCCUCAGCUCGGGAGGUCGCGCCUGAGCUGGUCAGCCUGC
rnacentral:misc_RNA from 1 species